GGCGCCCACCGUAAGCCUCCCGGGCCUUGUGAACCUGCAAACCCAAGUCUGAGAGACGAUCCGCCUUCAGCGCUUUCCAGCUUGGCAGAGAGGCUUUCCCGGCGGGGAUCUUUGGUUGGCGCUGGCGAUGCGCGGGGAAGAAAGGCGAGGAGCGGCGUCCAGGCUGGGUGAUGUCCCAGCACGAGUAGGCGGGAUGCGCUCGCUUGGUCCUCCGGGCGCCCGGUCCCUGCCCGCGUCGCGCGCCCACCCCUGGGGACGAGAAGGCGGCCGCCUGAGGACCCCCGCCCGCGACCUCCGCGAGUCUGGAGCGCAGAGGACAGGGUCUGGCUGCUCUUUGGCCUUGGAUGGAAAGUGGGGAAUUGGGUGGGGGGCUGCGGACCCCUUAACGUGGAUUACUUGGUGUGUAUCAGCUGGGCUCAGAAGACCCACGACCUCUUCUCCAUCCGUGGAUUGAUUUGUUCUGCUUAACAGCUGGGUCGCCAAGCUGGAGGUAUUUUUCCCUCUCCACCCUGGUCUUCUCCUGUAACGUGUGGCCGCCUUUUCCAGCACGGCCUCCUGCCUUCCUGGUGCACUUUUUGGAGAACGUGGUGGAAUCAGAGGUUUCUGGCUGACUCGGUGGGUGCUUUGAACCAGGAAAGGACAAGAAAGAGGUGAGUUGCACUUGGCAGUUAUAGUACAGCUGCCUGCCUGUGGCUCUUCUUGCUUUGAGGUUUGCUCCUUCUUCAGUGCAACCCUUUGCCCAGACAUCCCUAAUGCCCCCAGCUCAGAGCAGCAGUUGGCAGGCAGGAGCUUUGCAGUUAGCCAUCGGAGAGCCCCACAGACAGGGGUUAAUAAGUACAAACAGUCAUCACAAUUAAUUCAGGCCAGGCUGUGUGCUCCUGGCUUUUAGUUGAAUCAACUCAUUUUCACCUCUCACAACUCUAGCAGUCAGGUCCUGUUAUGCCCAACCUACAGAUGGGGAGACUGAAGUUUGGUCACUCGCCCAAGGUCACACAGUUAACUAGUGAGGGAGCCAGGCCUAGACUGUUGCUGGGAUCUAUUGCUGUUUUGAGUGACCAUGAAUUUUCCCAGCUCCCCGGGGCACCAUGCAACAGCUCCUGCUACCUGCCCUGAACACGCCGAGUCUACUGCAGGGCACAGAGGUCUCGCAGUUUGCAGGGAGAACAUGAAGCAGGUGACUCAAAGCCUGCGGGUCCAGGAGAUAAACAGGUGGAUUGCACCUGCUGGCCUUCAGGAGCGCAGAGACUGUCCAUGGGGUUAAAUGGGAUAUCAGGGCUUUCUGGCAUGCUGCCGACUGAAGUCUGCUCCCAAUAAAACAGGAUGUGGAACAAGGGGCCGCUCUCCUACUGCAAGGGCUGGGUUUGCCCAGGGCUGUCUAGAUUCCACCAUCCACAGCAGUUACAGCACUGGGUGUAAGUCUCAGUCGUAAGUACUAAGCAACAGAUCAUCUCUACUAGUAUGAAGCCUGGGAGAGGGUUGUCCCCGCUGCCUGCAGAGCCACCAGGGGUCAUAAUGGCAGAUAGCAGGCCCAGCAGCAAAAAAAAAAAAAAAA
ensembl:lncRNA LINC00511 long intergenic non-protein coding RNA 511